CUGUCUUUCUUUUGACUGUUUUUGGAAAUGACCCUGGAUUAUAAAAGGGCUGCAUCUUUUUGCUUCCUCUUUGGAGUUCAUUAAUCAUGGUCUUGAGUCACUUGUUAAAUGUACUUUUGUAUUUGGAACAUGGUAAGGACCUUUUUUAAUUUGUUGUAUUUCUCCUAGGCUAAAAUGGAACAAUAUUAAGAAGGAAAAAAAAAAAAAAGAAGAAAAAGAAAACAGGAAAGAAGAGCUCAAUACUUCCAGGAAUAUUUGCUGUUUUUCUGAAUGAAACUUGAUAAUGCUAUUUAAAUGGAAUUGUUUUCAUUGCUGAGGAUUAAGCCUUGAACCUUGUGCAAGUCAGAUUUUCACUGGAAAUCAAGGCCACUGCUUUGGUUUGGAUGUGAUUUGUCCAGCAAAGAUUUGUAUCCUGGAAGUCCUCUGUGUGAUGGUGUGUAGGUGUGGAGCUCUUGAGACAUGGGACCUAGCGCAAGCAGUGGCUCAUCAACUGCUGGGCAUACGAUGGGGACAGAGGAUUUGUUCCUUCCCUGCUUACUAGGUGAGCUGGUCUACCUUACACCUUCGUCUCGCUGUGCCCUGCCAGCUUGCUGCCCAUGGUCCUCAGUGCAGCCCGCAGCCCUUGGAACGGCCCCACCCCAUCCCUGCAGCAGACGGUGAGUCUGGAAAAGACUCAGAGUUUGGAGUCUGUCUAAGAGCCUCAUCCUAUUCUUUGCUCUCCC
rnacentral:lncRNA from 1 species